CCACCUAUAUUUACCAAUCUCCAAAACUCACCCAUUCUUCUCAAAAUGUUUGUGAAUGUUAUAAAAUAUCAGGACACCACUCUCCCUGACACUGGCUGCAGCUGAGAGACCUGGGACAUCGGAUACCCAGCUGGCAGAAGGCAAAAUCUUUUACCAUGUCAACCUCCCGGACCCUCUAUCUGCAGAGUCUGAUGAAGGAGAGUCAUGGAAAGAACUCUGAGUACAGGUUUCAGACAAACUCAAGACCAUAAAACUGAAACCAGAUUGAAGAAAAUUUUUUCUCUUGGGCUAACCUGUAGCAAUUUGAUAAAAUAUACCUCUGUGAAUAAAUUGAAAUGCUUCUCUUUUCUCCCUACCUGAAUUCGCCAGAAUUCAGAAACUCUCAGACACAAUUGGAAAUCUUGGUUAUAUCACCAAGGCUUGAGUGGAAUGGCAUAUUUGAGAGAGACAUGCAUAGUCUCAGCUAUAAACAGACAGCUUUAAGGAACUAGGGUUGACUUUAUGGAGCCAAGAAGGCCUCUUCAAAAUAUCAGCAUGGUGCCUUAAUUACAGAGUUCCCAGGAGUCUUAACCAGAAUCUCCAAGAAGAGGUUUGAAACCCAAAGAAUUGCCUCCAGGGCCCCGAGGCCUCAGAGAAAGGCCUGCUUCUCUUGGGGUCACAGAUACCCUCGGAUUACUACAGUUGGCUCACAGAAUUCUAAUUCCAAUUUCACAGAGUGUUGAUAAAACAGACAUUUCUCUAAUGGCACCUUUAGAGCAGAGGUGCUCGUGGUAUCACAAUCUUUGCAGGAUUGUUGCUGGAGAUCGGAGCAGAUGCCACACGCCUUCCUGGCAUUGCUGGGGGGCUUCCCUGUCCCUCAUGCAUGGCUCUUCUCAGCGUGAAGUAUCCCCCUAAGAUGCAGAAAAGGAGAACCCCCCGCCCACCAUGCUGCUUUUCUCCCAAAGCUGUUCCUGCUGUCCUUCCAUUUCUCUGCUCCGUCUGUGGACCUCGCCGCUGGCAGUCCUGCACCCAGGCUGCCAGAUGCUGGCCUUGGUUCAGCCCUGUUUCCCCCUCCAGCUCCCGCUCCUAUGCUCCUGUCCACCACAGGCCACUGCUACCUUCCUCAGUCCCCUCCUUACCGUUGAAAACCAGUUGGGCCCUGUUCACCAUCAUUGCUGAGACAUCUUAAAAAAUAAAACCCCCGACCCUUCCUUUUCUUCUUAGCCAGCAUUCCAGGCCAGCCAGGACGGGAAAGGUCAGCACUGCAUUGCUUCUCCCCUCUGGGACCUGAGAUUUCAUUCACUUCCCCUCCAAUCCUGGAAUGUUGCCCCCGCAAUCUGCACUUGCGGUGGCAAACAGGUUUUAUCUGCUUUGUUCCCAAGCAUGUAUGUAAAUUGUCUCAGCCUUUCCUGGCUCUCUCCUUUCUGAGAAUGUUUUGUAAAGCUGCACCUCUUAGGUUUAUCCCAAUUAUUAAAGCAAAAGGACACUAACCUGCCAUCCAUUGAAUUCCCAACACAGCGCUCUCCCAGGCACCAGAAACAACGUCUGUUCCUCCUCUGGCUUUUCGUGAGCCUGGGUGAAAUGAAAUCCCCCCUUUCCUCACCAUUAGUGACCUACAUGUAACAACCACACAGAUUCUUCUGCAGACAUCUUUGGUGAGAUAACUGACAUAUUUUAAGAAAAGGACGCCUCCAAGGACACAGUUAUAUUAGCUCUUCAUUCUUUCAAUACUUACAAUAUUUUUACCACUAUUUUCAGCUUUUCAAUUAAACUGAUCCUUUUCUGAAGAAAUUGUUCAAAGUUUGCAGCACCCAUGAUUCAUUCUCCCAUGAAAGAGCAACAAUCAAGGGUAGACUUCAGAGCCUUUUCAGGGGUGGUUGCCACUCUUUAUUACAAUUUUUGUUUGUUCAUUUUCAUUGUGAAAAAGCUUUGCUGAAAAUAAAAUCACUUUUCCAAUAGCACAGCUCUUCCUUAUCUCUCUACCACUGUGUUUAAAGCACUUCAUCCAAACCUUUCUUAAUUAGGCUAACUUCAAAUCCUUGUUCAUUUAAAAUUUUUGUUUUAAAUCCUCACUCAUUUUGAAAUGAGAAUCAGAUUUUCUGCAAAACCUCUAUCUAGUAAAAAUUAAGGAAUUUGUUCUAAAUUAGAAUUUAUAUUCACAAGAAAAAGAGAAGCCCAUGCAGGGCUUGAUGCCUACAAACAUGACAUUACACCAAAGGCAAGGAAGGUGUUGAUGCAUGCAGGGGUCCACCUUGGAGAAAGACAUUCUUACAAAACAUUCUGACAGGAGGACCGACCAGUUGGUUCUAAAUAAAUGUGGCUAGAGAGGGUAAUAUGAAGCCCCUCUUAUCAAGUGAGGCUAGACCAACCUUUGCCCCCCACUAAGAAGCCAGCUUUCUCCUGCACCCCAAACAUUUGCUCCUGGGAUCCCAACCAGCCCCCCAAGCCCAAAGCAUCUUCCGGUUCACCGGCUUCAUCAGUGAUCCUUGGGGGGAUGGGGAUCAGUGCUGCUCAGCCCAGGCUGUGAACUUCUAACCCUCUGAGCAUUGUUAUCCUACUGUGAUAAAAUCCACAGGGCUCAACAGUUUAAUUCUUCUACGAACACUGAAUGUAUACCAGGUGCUGGGGGAAGGAGGGGGAAGGAGAGCAGCGAGGCUAUGCUGUACAGACAACCAAGUCCCCACUCCGCAGGUCCUAAGGGUCUGGUUAAGCAGAGAUGUAUUGGACAUGAAGCCAAAAAUAACAUAAUAGAAUGAAGUCAAUGGAAUAAUAGUGCAAAUGCUCAGGGGAUUCAGAGGAGAAGACAAUUGGUUCCACAACGGGGAGGGGAGCAAAAAAGGGAAGGAGGCUUUUCACAGUAGAGAAAGGGAGGGGGCAUUUUUAGCUGAGGGAACAGCCUUGACAUGUAGGCUGCAUUUAGAGACCAUUCUUCGCUGUCUGGCGAGGUUACAGGGGAAAUUCAACAACGUGAUGGGAAUGAGUCGUGAUAGAACUUUCACAUCAAAUCUUGCCAUUGGAGGGGUCGGGCUAGUAUCCUUCUGGUUUCGUGGGAGCAAGGCAUAUAAAAGUAUUUUUUGAAAACUUUAAAAGAGGAUUUGCCUGGCUAGUGAAUUCUUUGGAAUUAUAGAAGAGACUCACAGAUAAUAAUAAUAAUGAUAGUUAUAGUAAUAAUAGCUACUAUUAAUAUUUUGUCGUGAUUUAGGGCAGACAUCAUCUUUUAGAGCUGAAAGAACUUUAAACACCACCUCAUCCAACUCGCUUAUUUUACAGACAAGGAAACUGAUGUCCAGAGAAAUUUUGUCUCCAGACCCUGGCCAGUGAGGGGCAAAGCCAGGUUGAGGUACAGACCUCCCCCUUCCUAAACCAGUAAACCAGAUUACUUGUCACUAAAAACGUGUCCAUCGGCACCGCUCCCGGCUAUUUUUCAGAGAAGGAAAAAAUGGGUGAUUGGAGUUUAAGCGGUUUGCUGGAGUCCUGCAGCCACCGGUGGCUCACGUGGGACUCAAACCCCAGACACAGGGGACAAUGAGCCAGCGCCCUCCUAUAAACAUUCUUACUGAAAUUAAACCCAUUCACGAGGGAUGAAGCACGAGAAAGAAGAGUGAGUAUGGUGAUUAGAGCCCAAGAAUGCAUGUUUCUCCCAUCACGACCUGGGUAAGAAAUCCAGGGGCUGUGAGGAGUCUGCUUUGCCUCAGCUGCCAUGCAGCCUAACCACACACACGCCAAGAUGCAGGGAGCUCUCUUUCUUCACCAAAGGGCUUAGCUGCAAUAUGGUUUAAAUUAGACAUUUCUUGCCUGAGUAGAGCAAAUCACUUAGGUUAUAUGCUGACAAAAAAGGAACAGUCUGCAUGCUUGGAAAGCUUAGGGGGAAUUAAAUUAUGUGCUGUCACUUCAGAGUUGUUCCUCUGUCCUCUCCACCACCAUCUCUCAAUUGCCUGCAGGAGUCCUGGAGCCUUGCGUGCAAGCUGAGCCAUAACCCAAGGCUUAACAUAAACUUCGGACUCUCAGGUCAUUGGGAAAUAACAGGUAUAUCCGGUUGGGCCUUUUGUGCUUGUCUGCACGCAAAUUAAAAGUUCGUGCAAAGCUGAACUCCUCGGAGCCUCUGGUUAGGGAGAAGGGAGGCUGCCUUGGAAGAGAAUUCUCACACGAUCUCCCUGUUUAUUUUUUCAGGGAAUGGCAGAUAGAGCUUGUUUAUGAGAAGUUCGCACCUCUGGGAGCCUGAGCUCAGAAGGGGCGGGAUGUGGAGGGGGCCUUGUGCCAGAUGGUCCGUGGGGGAGCAGGGCUCUGAAGGACCCCAAGGCAAGGCGUUGAAGGGGUGUAGUUCUCACAGACCUUCAAGGAGGUGGGCUCGGGUGGGUAUGCCAAUUCCCACAGUUGCCCCGCUGGUGGCAAACAAUGGCAAGAUGGCUUGUGGGGGCCGAGUUGGGUGGGGAGGGUCAUUGGGGGGCUCUGAAAGCACAGCUCUUCCUUAUCUCUCUACCACUGUGAGUGUGCUCAUACACUCAGAGCUGUCACCUUGGCUCCUCACUGUCCUGUCUUCAAUGACCCCAGUAUGAUUGCAGCCUGGAAGCCUCUGAGAAGGUGGCUGGAGCUGGAAAGGGUGUGCACUCUGCUCCCCUGCUUCAUCCAAUGGGAAGCAGUAACAUUCAUGCCUCCUGCCCUCAAACUUUGAUUUCUCUCCUUCAGGAGUUUGCCCACUUUGUGUGGCUGGGAGGCAGCAGAGAGUCUGGGCUGGUAGACCUGAAUUCAAAUUGUAGCUCAGCUACCUCAGGAGUUUUGUGACCUUGGUUGACAACUCUAACUGCUCUCACCUUGCUUUGUUUGUGUAGAAAAGGGAUUAUGGUUAAUGGUUACCUCAAAUGGUUGGUUGUGAGGGUUUAAUGAAAUGAUUUCUGUUAAAUGCUUGGCACACUGCCUCGCUCCAAGUGCUCAAUAAAUAGUAAUUCGACAUUAUUGGUAGUAUAUUAUCAUUGUUGUCAUUGUUAAGAUUGGCUGAGCUGCCAUCCAAACAGCUGCUGCAUUUCAGGCUGUGCCUCAGAUGCCCUCCUGGCCUCACAACUGAGCAGGAUCCCCUAAUCCCGCCCCCCACCCCCCUACUUCUUCCACCAUGAUCUCCCAGCCACCUGAUUCAGACAUCCCCUGGGCUCUGGCAGCAGAGAUGGGGCACCAGCCUGCCUUACUUGGGAGUCAAGGUUCAUUGUCCCAGCCAGACGCCUGGGGAUGGUACCUCCGGCAUAGCUCAGCAAGGUCGCAACAUGAUUUGAAUGUGUCCACAUGUGUCUCUAAGGCUUUCCUCCUCAAACCAAUAGCUGAAUCAUGGCUGCCUCCAAAAUUGAUCCCCACUCCCACCAACUUCCUAUAUCAAGACUUUAGCCCCUUAGAUAUUGCUUGGAUGGAGAGACGCUCCAAAGGAAAAAAAAAAAUCACACUUUUAAGCUUAGACAGUAGUUCUCAAAGUGUGGUCCAGGGACUCCUUGGGAGUGUGGGUGGUCCCCGAGACCCUGUCAGGGGAUCCACAAGUUUAAAAUUAUGUCGAUAGGAUAAUCUUUGCCUUUCGCUCUCUCCCUCUCUCACCAUUACCAGGGGCCUUUCAGGGGUCGCAUGACAUUUGUGAUCUCAACAGACUGAAUGCAGAAUCAGAUAGGAGUAUUUAUCUGUCUCUGUCAAGUCAGAAAUUAAGGAGAUUUGUAAAAAUGUAAAACAAUGCCACUCUCGUUAAUAUUUUUUGGUUUGGGAAAAUAUACUUAUUUUCUCUAAAACAUAUUAUUUAUGUUAACAUAAAUGUAUUAAGUUUGUUCUUUUCCAAUGAAUAAAUAUUUUAAACUUUGUUGCAUUUUCAUUUCUAAAAUUGUGAAUAUUGAUAGAACUUAGAUUGGACAAUAGCUCUUUGAUUUCUACAGUAAUUUUUUAGAGUAUGAAGAUGUCCCGAAAACAAAAUACUUGAGAAGCACUGAGCUAAUAAUUUGGCAUUGUAGUCUAUGAAAUCAUCCCUUUGCUCACUUACUUCUAAAUAAAACCAUCGUUUCUGG